AUACUAUUUCAACAUAUUAUCUAUAUUACGUUCUCAGAGCUAUUGUUAUUAUUGUUGCUACUUUUGUUAAUGCUCCUAACGCUACUUUUAUGAUAAUUAUUGCAAUAACACUAAUGAUCUCUAUAGCUAUCACCACUAUAAUAAUCACAAUUACUUCCUAAAAGACUAUAUCAAACUCAGUACAAGUCACUACUAUUUACCUUUAUUGUCGCUGUUCCACUAGUGCUAUCCAAUAUACGUUCCUCUAAUAUAUACGUUGCUCUAAACCCCCAUGCUGUCUCGUGGGAAGAGGCGAGGGAUGAGGCACAGCUGAUCGGUACGAAAUCAGCUGUUCGCCGAAGUGCGACUUUUCGCUGCGAUUGGAAGUGUGAUGACUCGCUCACGUGACCUGCCUUGACCUGGGGCGAUUUAACCCUGACCUGACCUCGCCGAGAAGUCAAGACCGAAGGGAAUUUCUGACGUAAGGAGGAAAUUCGGCGUCAAGCAACCACCGGACCGAGAGACGUCUAUCCGCCUGCUUUGUGCUUGAAUUUUCAUUAAUAACCCGAUGUCUUUGUGAGAAUUUGUGAUUUAUUUUUCUCCCUUUCAUGGUAGAGUGUCUGCGUGAAUGGAGAAAUGCGCCAAAAUAAAACGUUUUCACUGGA